GGGUCCCCAACCCGCCAGGGGGACGGCGAGGCCGCCUCUGUCCCCUGCGCCCCCUGGUGGGGCCCGAGCCCGGCCUGCGGUCAGAUCUGUGAGACUGAGUUCCGCGGAAGUGCGGACCCUUCAGGGAACUGCGAAGGCGGGAGCUGGGGUCAAAGUGUCCAGGCAGCUCUGCCAAAAAGAAAACACAAAUGCUCUUGCGUUCCCUUCCUGGACUCUGCCUGGCUCUCCUUCCUUGAUGUGAUGACAGUGACAGGUCGGGUGUCCCUCACCUACUAGGGCUCCAAGCUGAAGAGUAAAUACAACAAAGUCUCUGGAAUGAGACCCCAGAAGCGAAACCACGAAUCCCUGAAGAAAAGGAAAGAAAAGUGAAAACCUCCAGAAACCCACAGCUUCUCCGGCCCAUAGCGGCCCAAGAAGAGACUCUGGAUUUCUCGGCUCACAAGCCCUCGGCAGAAGAGUUUAUCAGAGCGCAGAGCUCAAUGCCUUGUGAGGAUGGGGAUGCAGCUGUCUCCCACGACACGUGAUGCUUGGUCAGAAGACACGUGGGAGGGACAGGACGCGUAAGGCACCACUCCUGAAGUUCAGGUCGCUCGCAGGGACGAGGGGCGAGCACCACGCAUGUGCA